GGACUGGUAGAGCUUCUGCAUGAUGGGGUUGGCGACGGCCUCAAGCUCCUUCUGGUGCUCCUCGUACUCCUCCUUGGAGGCCUCCUGAGACGAGUCGAGCCACGAGAUGGUGUCGUUGACGGCAGUCUCGAGCUUCUGCUUGUCCGCGGGCUCGAACUUGUCCGCGAGCUUCUCGUCCGUGAGCGAGUUACGCAAGUUAUACGCGUAUGACUCGAGCCCGUUCUUUGCCGAGAUGCGCUCCGUAGCCGCCGCGUCUUCGGCCUUGUACUUCUCGGCCUCGGACACCAUACGCUCGAUCUCCUCCUUGGAUAGGCGGCCCUUGUCGUUCGUGAUCGUGAUGCGGUUCGACUUGCCGGUCGUCUU
rnacentral:misc_RNA from 1 species